rnacentral:rRNA from 1 species
AGCAGCCGCGGUAAUUCCAGCUCCAAUAGCGUAUAUUAAAGUUGUUGCAGUUAAAAAGCUCGUAGUUGAAUUUCGGGGUUAGUAGGUUGGUCAUGCCACUGGUAUGUACUGAUCUUACUGAUUCCUCCUUCCUGAUGAACCGUAAUGCCAUUAAUUUGGUGUUGCGGGGAGACUGGACUGUUACUUUGAAAAAAUUGAGUGUUUAAAGCAGGCUAACGCUUGAAUACAUUAGCAUGGAAUAAUGAAAUAGGACGUUCGAUCCUAUUUUGUUGGUUUCUAGGAUUGACGUAAUGAUUAAUAGGGAUAGUUGGGGGCAUUAGUAUUCAAUUGUCAGAGGUGAAAUUCUUGGAUUUAUUGAAGACUAACUACUGCGAAAGCAUUUGCCAAGGAUGUUUUCAUUAAUCAAGAACGAAAGUUAGGGAUCGAAGACGAUCAGAUACCGUCGUAGUC